GUCCAGGGGCGGGAAUCGAACCCACAUCCUUCUGCUUACCGGGCAGGUGCCAUGUCCACUAGGCUACCCUGGA
rnacentral:tRNA from 1 species